rnacentral:misc_RNA from 1 species
UUGAAAAAAGGAAGGAAAAGUAUAAUAGGAGCUGACACUUUCAUUUUUAGACCAGGAUUUGGAUUCUUUUUUUCUUCUUCACAUUUUCUACGCUUCUUUUAUCGGGUUUCUUUAGUGUUAGUUUAUUUUUCAUAUUAUUUCUUCUUCUACACAAAAUCUCUUGUAUUGAAUAUAGAUUGUGAGUAGUAUUCUUUGAUUCUGGAGUUAGGG